rnacentral:lncRNA from 1 species
GGUGGUGUAGUGACUAGUUGUUGGUUUAGUUGCUGCACUUCUCAGACUACUGCCGCCAAAGUCUACACUUGCUGCACAAGCAGGUUGAACUACUCUAUAGUCACUCUCUCGUAGGUGAUUGUGGGGCUUGAGAUCUUUGAGGUCUAUGUCAAGAGUCACUAGACUCCUGUUGAGGUUAGUUGGUGGUGGACUGAUGAUUGCUUUUUUAGAAAUUCAUCUCUCUCAAAUCUCUAGAGAAACAUCGAAGAUCUUUUCUCUAGCG